rnacentral:misc_RNA from 1 species
UCUAUCGGAUCGUUUUAGAAACAUCAGUGGCCAACAAUCGUCAGGAUUGUUGAGCUGCAUUGGCGGGAUUUCGCCGUCUUCGUUUCUCUUUCUUCGCGGACGAACACGCGCCAGGGGCUUAGCGCUUGUGCGAUGCAUUUGGCGUGAGCCGAUUGCGCGCGAGCUUGAGUCCUUCGUGUUAGGGGCUUGUAGCUCAGUUGGUUAGAGCGCGCGCUUGAUAAGCGUGAGGUCGGAAGUUCAAGUCUUCCCAGGCCCACCACUUUGAUCGAGUGCGGAGCAUUCGUCUUCUGGUACGGGGCCAUAGCUCAGCUGGGAGAGCGCGUGCUUUGCAAGCAUGAGGUCGUCGGUUCGAUCCCGUCUGGCUCCACCAGAUGAAAUCGAAGAUCGGGAAUGCCUCGAAUAAUCGUCCGCGAAACAUCACUUCGCAUGCGCAGUCCGGAUGGAUAGCGUCAUGCGUGAUAUCUGACAUCGUAAAGAGGAGAUCGAUCCGAGUUUGGGAUCUGCAAAGCAAUUUGCGGGCUCUCAAUCAUAAUCUCCAGGUCAUUUCGGCGCUCGCUCAUCGCAAGAUGAUCGGGUUGUGAAUGAUCUUUUUAGCGAAGCUUGACCGCCUCGCUAUCGGUUCGAUCUUACGAAGCAAGCUGGUCUUUCUAAUCAGUGUCCGGCUGCUGCAAUCGCAUUCAUCGAGGAUGCGUGCCUUCAAUGGCUGUUGCGCAGACAACAUUCUGCCGAGUGUGUGGACAUUGAUAAUGAGAGCAAUCAAGUGCCUUAAGGGUGUUCGGUGGAUGCCUUGGCGCUGAGAGGCGAUGAAGGACGUGCUACGCUGCGAUAAGCCGUGGGGAGCUGCGAAGAAGCUUUGA